rnacentral:misc_RNA from 1 species
AAUAAUAAUAAUAAUAAUACUGUUAUCAAAUUGAAAUUGCUUCCGAUGGCAUAAAAUUCUUUGAUUAUUGUAUAAUUAAUAGCUUUCACCUCAAAACUAAGCAAAUUUUUAGCUCAAAAUUUCAUAAUAAGAAAUGAUUUUGUUUACGUAAGAAAAAGAAUUAAUGAAGUGCUAAUUUUGACUGCUGGAUCCCUGAGGGAUUUAAGGCUUAAUUGAGUUGAGUUUUCGUGUUAUUAUAAAGUAGCCUCCUUAUCUGUACUUUCAACAGUAUGCACCAUAUUUUUGAACAUAGCAUGUCGUGUAGGAAGGUUGUUAACUGUAGUAGGACUUUAAAGAGAAAAUCUAUCAACUUAUUCGGCCCCCUAUUUUCUAGGUUUAAAAAGAUUAAAUUUAUUACAUUUACUCCCUCUCAAAAAGCUAUAACAAACAGGUUUUCCCAACAUUGACCGUGCUUCAGAAUCAAAAGUGUAAAGAACUUCCUGUAUAACUUUUGCUAUUGAAGAAGGAAUUUUACCGAGUUCAAAAAAAAAAAUUAAUAAAUAAAAAGACUGUAGCAUAAACUCAUAAAAACUAUAAUCAGAUGCCUUUAAUAGACAGACAGAAAUGAGUACUUCAGUGAUGCUGCCAGAUGAUAUUGAGAUCAAGGAAGUAUUGGAUAAAGGCUGCCAUAGCAAAAUUAGUGAUUUUCUAAACUCCUGUUGAACAAAUAACUUACGUUCUCUAGUUUCAAAUUUAAUUC